rnacentral:misc_RNA from 1 species
GAAAUGCGAUAACUAAUGUGAAUUGCAGAAUUCAGUGAAUCAUCGAGUCUUUGAACGCACAUUGCGCCCUCUGGUAUUCCGGAGGGCAUGCCUGUCCGAGCGUCAUUGCUGCCCUCCAGCCCGGCUGGUGUGUUGGGCCCCGCCCCCCUUCCCGGGGGGGCGGGCCCGAAAGGCAGCGGCGGCACCGCGUCCGGUCCUCGAGCGUAUGGGGCUUUGUCACCCGCUCUUGUAGGCCCGGCCGGCGUCAGCCGACCCCCUCAAUCUAUUUUUUCAGGUUGACCUCGGAUCAGGUAGGGAUACCCGCUGAACUUAA